UGGGGGAUAUUGCGCAAUGGGGGAAACCCUGACGCAGCAACGCCGCGUGCAGGAAGACGGCCUUCGGGUUGUAACUGUUGUCGCAAGGGAAGAAACAAAUGACGGUACCUUGUGAGAAAGCCACGGCUAACUACGUGCCAGCAGCCGCGGUAAUACGUAGGUGGCAAGCGUUGUCCGGAUUUACUGGGUGUAAAGGGCGCGUAGGCGGGCUUUCAAGUCAGAUGUGAAAUGCCGGGGCUUAACCCCGGAGCUGCAUUUGAAACUGUAAGUCUUGAGUAUCGGAGAGGAAAGCGGAAUUCCUAGUGUAGCGGUGAAAUGCGUAGAUAUUAGGAGGAACACCAGUGGCGAAGGCGGCUUUCUGGACGACAACUGACGCUGAGGCGCGAAAGUGUGGGGAGCAAACAGGAUUAGAUACCCUGGUAGU
rnacentral:rRNA from 1 species